CACUUUCUUGGUUGCAUGAUCGGGCAAGGAAAUAUUUAUAGCUGUAAGAUAGGCAUGCGUCCCAUUAGCUGGUUGGUGAGGUAACGGCUCACCAAGGCAACGAUGGGUAGGGGAACUGAGAGGUUUAUCCCCCACACUGGUACUGAGACACGGACCAGACUCCUACGGGAGGCAGCAGUGAGGAAUAUUGGUCAAUGGGCGAGAGCCUGAACCAGCCAAGUCGCGUGAAGGAUGACUGUCCUAAGGAUUGUAAACUUCUUUUAUACGGGAAUAACGGGCGAUACGCGUAUUGCUGUGAAUGUACCGUAAGAAUAA
rnacentral:rRNA from 1 species